CACAACUAGGGUUGGCAGCAGGCGCGCAAAUUGCCCAAUAGCAACACAUCGCUGAGGCAGCGAAGAGAAAUAGCAACUUCAUGCGGCCCUGCCGUGUGAAGAUUGCCAUGGACGAUAUCUAAACCUGUCGGUGAGUAUCAAUUGGUGGACAAGUCUGGUGCCAGCACCCGCGGUAAUUCCAGCACCAAUAGCGUAUAUUAAUGCUGCUGCUGUUAAAAAGCUCGUAGUUGGAUCAGCCUGAAUGUUCGAGCAUGGAAUAACAAGGGAUCGAUUAUCCCAGUUCUUUUUGUUGGUUUUUAACCCGAGAAGGAGUAAUUCAGGCCAAGGUGUCUGGGCUGGGUUCCCCUUCGCUUCGGCGGAGGCCCCAGUUAGGCCUUGUCCUUACGGGAUAAAUAGGGACUGACGGGGUCGUACGUACUUCCACGUCAGAGGUGAAAUUCUUAGAUCGUGGGAAGACGAACUUCUGCGCAAGCAUUCGACAAGAAUGUCUUCAUUAAUCAAGAACGAGAGUGUGGGGAUCGAAGAUGAUCAGAUACCGUCGUAGUCCACUACUGUAAACAAUGCCGUCUCAGGAUUGAUAAGUGAACCUAAUGACUUUCACAGCACUAACCCCUGAAACGAGAAAUCAAAGAUUAUGGGUUCAGGGGGGAGUACAUUCGCAAGGCUGAAACUUAAAGGAAUUGACGGAAUGACACGACAAGGCGUGGAGUAUGCGGCUUAAUUUGACUCAACACGGGGAAUUUUACUAGGUCAGGACAAUGUAAGGAUUGACAGAUUGAGAGCUCUUUCUCGAUCCAUUGUGUGGUGGUGCAUGGCCGCUCCUGGUUGGUGGAGUGAUUUGUCUGGUUGAUUCCGUUAACGAACGAGAUCUCCACCCUUAAAUAGGUGCCCGUGUCGAUCGUAGUUUCACUCCUGCUCGCUUGCGAGACUAGGAUGGGACGAGACUGCGGGAAUGCUUCUUAAGGGGACUAUGCGUCUAUAGCAUGCGGAAGAGCGAGCCAAUAGCAGGUCUGUGAUGCUCCUAAAUGUCCUAGGCUGCACGCGCACUACACUGAUGCAAUAAACGAGUCUGACGGCCUUCUGGCAACCUACCUGGAAGCGGGUGGGAAAUCUUUUGAACUUGCAUCGUGAUGAGGAUCGACGAUUGCAAUUAUUCUCCUUGAAUGAGGAAUGCCUAGUAGGCACAAGUCAUCAGCUUGUACUGAUUACGUCCCUGCCAUUUGUACACACCGCCCGUCGUUGCUACUGAUUGGCUGUAGGGUAGAGAUCGGCGGAUUCCGAGCUGUUGGGGCAACUCUUCAGUUUGGGAGAAACCUAUCAAUAUUCUGCAGC
rnacentral:rRNA from 1 species